rnacentral:rRNA from 1 species
AGAGUUUGAUCAUGGCUCAGAACGAACGCUGGCGGCAUGCCUAACACAUGCAAGUCGAACGAGACCUUCGGGUCUAGUGGCGCACGGGUGCGUAACGCGUGGGAAUCUGCCCUGGGGUGCGGAAUAACUCGGAGAAAUCCGUGCUAAUACCGCAUAAUGUCUUCGGACCAAAGAUUUAUCGCCCUGGGAUGAGCCCGCGUAGGAUUAGCUAGUUGGUGGGGUAAAGGCCUACCAAGGCGACGAUCCUUAGCUGGUCUGAGAGGAUGAUCAGCCACACUGGGACUGAGACACGGCCCAGACUCCUACGGGAGGCAGCAGUGGGGAAUAUUGGACAAUGGGCGAAAGCCUGAUCCAGCAAUGCCGCGUGAGUGAUGAAGGCCCUAGGGUUGUAAAGCUCUUUUACCCGGGAUGAUAAUGACAGUACCGGGAGAAUAAGCUCCGGCUAACUCCGUG